ACGAAGAGUGGACGGUUGUUCCUUCGUUGUCGACCUUGAGCAGCAGUCAACUUCUCACAGAACCUGGGAGUAGGAGAUUCGAGUAGAAUCUCUUUUCCCUCCCGCCUUCGGUGAGAUUUUUUUUAUCUUCAGCUACAUUUUUCAGCUCUGUGAGGAGCAGACUAUCAAACACAAUGGCUAGCAAUGUUACCAACAAGACAGAUCCUCGGUCCAUGAAUUCCCGUGUAUUCAUUGGGAAUCUCAAUACACUUGUGGUCAAGAAAUCUGAUGUGGAAGCAAUCUUCUCGAAGUAUGGUAAAAUUGUGGGCUGCUCUGUUCAUAAGGGCUUUGCCUUUGUGCAGUAUGUUAAUGAGAGAAAUGCUCGGGCUGCUGUCGCAGGAAAGGAUGGCAGAAUGAUUGCUGGCCAGGUUUUAGAUAUUAAUCUGGCUGCAGAGCCAAAAGUGAAUCGAGGAAAAGCAGGUGUGAAACGAUCUGCAGCGGAGAUGUACGGCUCCUCGUUUGACUUGGACUAUGACUUUCAACGAGAUUAUUAUGACAGGAUGUACAGUUACCCAGCACAUGUGCCUCCGCCGCCUCCUGUUGCUCGGGCUGUAGUGCCCUCUAAACGUUAGCGCGUGUCAGGAAACACCUCACACAGGGGCAAAAGUGGCUUCAAUUCUGAGAGUGGACAGCGAGGAUCUUCUUCCAAGUCUGGAAAGUUGAAAGGAGAUGACCUUCAAGCCAUUAAGAAGGAACUUACUCAAAUUAAACAAAAAGUGGAUUCUUUACUGGACAGCCUGGAAAAAAAUUGAAAAGGAACAGAGCAAACAAGUAGACCUGUCCUUAUCAUCGACAGUAGAGGUGAAGAAUGAUAAGUCAGAAGAACAGAGCAGCAGCUCCCUGAAGAAAGAUGAGACUAAUGUCAAGAUGGAGUCUGAGGGGGGUGCAGAUGAUUCUGCUGAGGAGGGGGACCUACUGGAUGAUGAUGAUAAUGAAGAUGGGGGGAAGACCAGCUGGAGUUGAUCAAGGAUGAUGAAAAAGAGGCUGAGGAAGGAGAGGAUGACAGAGACAGCGCCAAUGGCAAGGAUGACUCUUAAGCACAUAGUGGGGCUUAGGGAUCUUAUCCCAUUGUUUCUUUACCUAGGCGCAUGUCUUAAGAUCAAAAUUUCACCAGAUCCUCUCCCCUAGUAUCUUCAGCACAUGCUCACUAUUCUCCCUAUCCUCAUCUUUCCCAUGUUCAUUAAUUCAUAUUGCCCUGCACCUAGUUCCAUUUUUUUGCUUCCUUUGAUGCUCCUGGUAGUUUUGUUAAGUCUUACCCUGUAAUUUUUGCUUUUAAUUUUGAUACCUCUUUAUGACUUAACAAUAAAAAGGAUGUAUGGUUUUUA